rnacentral:rRNA from 1 species
UCCGUUGGUGAACCAGCGGAGGGAUCAUUACAGAGUUGCAAAACUCCCAAACCAUUGUGAACCUACCCAAAACCGUUGCUUCGGCGGGUGGCUCUCGGGUCUCCCGGGUUGCCCCUCGGCCCCCCACGGGGCGCCCGCCGGAGGUACAUAAACCCUGUACUUUGUAUGGCCUCUCUGAGUCUCUGUACUGAAUAAGUCAAAACUUUCAACAACGGAUCUCUUGGUUCUGGCAUCGAUGAAGAACGCAGCGAAAUGCGAUAAGUAAUGUGAAUUGCAGAAUUCAGUGAAUCAUCGAAUCUUUGAACGCACAUUGCGCCCGCCAGCAUUCUGGCGGGCAUGCCUGUUCGAGCGUCAUUUCAACCAUCGAGCCCCCGGGCUUGUGUUGGGGACCUGCGGCUGCCCGCAGGCCCUGAAAACCAGUGGCGGGCUCGCUGUCACUCCGAGCGUAGUAGUAUCACCUCGCUCAGGGCGUGCUGCGGGUUCCGGCCGUUAAACGACCCAUUUACCCCAAGGUUGACCUCGGAUCAGGUAGGAAUACCCGCUGAACUUAAGCAUAUCAAUAAGCGGAGGA